rnacentral:rRNA from 1 species
CACCCGCAGCUCGAGUGGUGGUCACUUUUAUUGAGCCUAAAGCGUUUGUAGCCGGAUCCGUAAAUCUCCAGGCAAAUUCCUUCGCUUAACGAAGGAUCUUCUGGAGAGACUGCGGAUCUAGGGACCGGGUGAGGUUGAAUGUACUUCUGGGGUAGGGGUAAAAUCCUGUAAUCCUGGAAGGACGACCGGUGGCGAAGGCGUUCAACUAGAACGGAUCCGACGGUGAGGAACGAGGGCUAGGGGAGCAAACCGGAUUAGAUACCCGGGUAGUCCUAGCUGUAAACACUGCCCAAUUGAUGUUGCAUCUCCGUGUAGGGGGUGCAGUGUCGUAGCGAAGGUGUUAAGUGGGCCGCUUGGGGAGUAUGGUCGCAAGGCUGAAACUUAAAGGAAUUGGCGGGGGAGCACCACAACGGGAGGAGCGUGCGGUUUAAUUGGAUUCAACGCCGGAAAGCUCACCAGGAGCGACCUUUGAAUGAGAGUCAACUUGACGAGCUUACUCGAUAGAAGGAGAGGUGGUGCAUGGCCGUCGUCAGCUCGUACCGUAGGGCGUUCACUUAAGUGUGAUAACGAGCGAGACCCCCAUCUUUAAUUGCCAUCAUGUUCGAGAGGACGUGGGCACUUUAAAGGGACCGCCAGCGCAGAGCUGGAGGAAGGAGGGGUCGACGGCAGGUCAGUACGCCCCGAAUCUCCUGGGCAACACGCGCGCUACAAAGGACAGGACAAUGGGCUGCGACCUCGAAAGGGGAAGCCAAUCUCGAAACCUGUUCGUAGUUAGGAUUGAGGGCUGUAACUCGCCCUCAUGAAUCUGGAUUCCGUAGUAAUCGCGGGUCAACAUCCCGCGGUGAAUAUGUCCCUGCUCCU